rnacentral:rRNA from 1 species
UACAGAGGUCCCGAGCGUUGUUCGGAUUCACUGGGCGUAAAGGGUGCGUAGGUGGUGAGGUAAGUCGGAUGUGAAAUCUCCGAGCUCAACUCGGAAAUGGCAUUGGAAACUACCUUGCUUGAGGGUUGGAGGGGGGACUGGAAUACUUGGUGUAGCAGUGAAAUGCGUAGAUAUCAAGUGGAACACCAGUGGCGAAGGCGAGUCCCUGGACAACUCCUGACGCUGAGGCGCGAAAGCUAGGGGAGCAAACAGG